rnacentral:rRNA from 1 species
GUAAUAGUUAUGUUCUUGAAACUCAGAGAAUUUGGCGGUAUUUCAUUCUUUUUAGAGGAACCUGUCCCGUGAUCGACAGUCCACGAUAUAAUUUACUUACUUUUGUUUUCAGUUUGUAUACCUCCGUCAUCAGAUUAUCUUUUUAGAGUGAAUAUUCUCUUUAUAUAAAAUUUAAUAUGUCAGGUCAAGGUGCAAUAUAUAGGUAAGUGGAGAUGGGUUACAAUAAGAAUUAUUUACACGGAUUAUAUGAUUUAUUAUUAUAUGAAGGUGGAUUUAAAAGUAAAGUUAAUUAAUUUAUUAACUUGACUUUGGCUCUGAAAUAUGCACACAUCGCCCG